CUAAUAAACUUGAUUUAUUUUCAGGUCACAAGACUGAAAGCAUUUAGUUUAUUGCAGGACUUUGAUCCUGUUGCUCAUUCGUCUUCGUUGAGCUGAACUGAAGCGGCUUCGUCGUGAACUCAAAAGUUUAAGUUCUACUCUUGAAAUGGACUCUCUGCAAUGGGCCCUGAUCGGCGGCGCUGUUGGACUGGUUAUUGGGGUUUUAUUGUCCUUUGUCUUCAAGUACAUCCAUGUAUGUAAGAAGUCGAGGCAUCAAGAUGUUGAGCAAGGAUGUGAUGAGGAAGAGCCGCUUCUUCCCACCAUCAGCAACUCGAGCAGAAGAAAUAAACAAGAUACUGAAAUUGAGACUGAA